CAAGUCGAACGGCAGCACGGGUGCUUGCACCUGGUGGCGAGUGGCGAACGGGUGAGUAAUACAUCGGAACGUGUCCUGUAGUGGGGGAUAGCCCGGCGAAAGCCGGAUUAAUACCGCAUACGAUCUACGGAUGAAAGCGGGGGAUCUUCGGACCUCGCGCUAUAGGGGCGGCCGAUGGCGGAUUAGCUAGUUGGUGGGGUAAAGGCCUACCAAGGCGACGAUCCGUAGCUGGUCUGAGAGGACGACCAGCCACACUGGGACUGAGACACGGCCCAGACUCCUACGGGGGGCAGCAGUGGGGAAUUUUGGACAAUGGGCGAAAGCCUGAUCCAGCAAUGCCGCGUGUGUGAAGAAGGCCUUCGGGUUGUAAAGCACUUUUGUCCGGAAAGAAAUCCUGAUGGCUAAUAUCCGUCGGGGAUGACGGUACCGGAAGAAUAAGCACCGGCUAACUACGUGCCAGCAGCCGCGGU
rnacentral:rRNA from 1 species